UCCUGCUUCAACCUCCUGAGUAGCUGGGAUUAUAAGCAUGCACUACCACGCCCGGCUAGUUUUUGUAUUUUCAGUAGAGAUGGGGUUUCACCAUGGGUGAUAUUUCCAAGGAAGCAAAACCAUGAAGUGUAGAACCACUAUGCUGUUUUCACUACACUGCUGUUAGAAAACUAGACAUUUGGAUGGAAGAACAUGCUGUGCUCUGAAGGAACACUACUCCCCAAAUAGGUUCUGCCCAUGGGAUGUGGAGAUGAUGAAUUUUCUUACCUCAGUGUUGCUGACACUUAGAUCCAUGUGCUUCUGGAAAGACUCAUUUCUAAGAAAUCAUGGCUGAUUGAAUGAUUGUAUCCCCCAGGUGUUUAAUAAUGGAUCCAUGUCAAUCCUAAAAGAAGUUUCUUGUGGACCGCAAUAAUGUUCUGCCUGUAAACGUCUCCAUAUUCAUGAAGAUGUGAAAGCCAGACUUCAGACAGACAAUUAGAGGGUAUUAGUAAUGUAUAUUGGAUGAGAAAUUGUGACACAAAAUUUUAAUAGGCUGCAAAAGUGUGCUAAAAUUCACUAGGUAUUAAUGAUGUCAUAGGUUCAGAUAGACACUGAGACAAGUGUGAACAGAAUACAUGAGAUUACACUGAAGUUCAAUUAACUGCUAGUCAAAAACUAAAAACUAAAACAAUGUAUUCUGUAGUAAACACUUGCAGCCCUGUGCUCCCAGUUCACCUUUUCUAGAAGUUGCCCCUUUUCCUUGUCCAGAUGGUUGCAAAAAAGCACUGAAGUCACAACAUGACCUGGUUCCUGGCCACAGUUGAUAGGUCCAGAAAUUGAUAUUCAACUUAAGAAUAAGGAUCUGUUCUGUUUAUUUUAAAAUCAGAACCAAGAAUGGUAAGCUGGCCUGUCUUCGAAAGCCUGGACUCUAAGAAGUAAAGCUCUGGAUUUAUGGGCAGCCAUGUCCCCUAUCACUGGGUCAGCAGAGGAAUCUAGUCUUUGGAGAGAGGAGUGGACGUGAGAGAUGGAGAGACUCCUGUCUAUAUUUGGAUUCCUCCGGUCAGUUGUUCCUGUGGCUCCAUUGCCUUUCUCUUCCUUCAGUAUUACUGUAUUUUAAUAACCUAAUAGAUCCUUAUAUCUUCCCUUUCAACUCAAGCUAAUUAAGUUUCUGUUUUUUGCAAAGCAAAAUGUUCCAAGUCAUAACACAUGACUGAAGCUCCAGAUAUAGUGCCCUGAAUAAGGGUGGAGUAAUCAUAAUACUGAAUCUCCAGGUGGCCAUGUCUAAACUUUGCCUUGGCCACACAAAUGUGGUCAGCGUGGUCAUUUCCAGGCUCAACUUUCUGAAGAUGAUGGUCAAGAAACAAGUCUCUGAGGAAGAGCAGGUAGCUGUUUAGAAAUGUUUAAAGGGUUGCCAUGUAUAUGUCAAAGUAGAUGUUCUAUGUUGCUCCAACGGACAAAACUGAUACCAAUAGUCAAAAGUUGGAAUGCAGAUUUUGACUGAAUAUGAAAAUUGUGUUUGUAAGUAUUAGAAUUAUCAAAUAAAGGAAUGGAUGACCUA